GAUGAACGCUGGCGGCGUGCUUAACACAUGCAAGUCGAACGAUGAAGCCCAGCUUGCUGGGUGGAUUAGUGGCGAACGGGUGAGUAACACGUGAGUAACCUGCCCUUAACUCUGGGAUAAGCCUGGGAAACUGGGUCUAAUACCGGAUAGGAGCGCCUACCGCAUGGUGGGUGUUGGAAAGAUUUAUCGGUUUUGGAUGGACUCGCGGCCUAUCAGCUUGUUGGUGUGGUAAUGGCUCACCAAGGCGACGACGGGUAGCCGGCCUGAGAGGGUGACCGGCCACACUGGGACUGAGACACGGCCCAGACUCCUACGGGAGGCAGCAGUGGGGAAUAUUGCACAAUGGGCGAAAGCCUGAUGCAGCGACGCCGCGUGAGGGAUGACGGCCUUCGGGUUGUAAACCUCUUUCAGUAGGGAAGAAGCGAAAGUGACGGUACCUGCAGAAGAAGCACCGGCUAACUACGUG
rnacentral:rRNA from 1 species